rnacentral:rRNA from 1 species
GGGGGGGACCACUAUCGUGAUUCUGGGGCGUAAAGCGAGCGUAGGUGGCUUGAUAAGUCAGAUGUGAAAUCCCCGGGCUUAACCUGGGAACUGCAUCUGAUACUGUUAAGCUAGAGUAGGUGAGAGGGAAGUAGAAUUCCAGGUGUAGCGGUGAAAUGCGUAGAGAUCUGGAGGAAUACCGAUGGCGAAGGCAGCUUCCUGGCAUCAUACUGACACUGAGGCUCGAAAGCGUGGGUAGCAAACAGGAUUAGAUACCCUGGUAGUCCACGCCGUAAACGAUGUCUACUAGUCGUUGGGUCCCUUGAGGACUUAGUGACGCAGCUAACGCAAUAAGUAGACCGCCUGGGGAGUACGGCCGCAAGGUUAAAACUCAAAUGAAUUGACGGGGGCCCGCACAAGCGGUGGAGCAUGUGGUUUAAUUCGAUGCAACGCGAAGAACCUUACCUGGUCUUGACAUACACAGAAUCUUGUAGAGAUACGAGAGUGCCUUCGGGAAUUGUGAUACAGGUGCUGCAUGGCUGUCGUCAGCUCGUGUCGUGAGAUGUUGGGUUAAGUCCCGCAACGAGCGCAACCCUUGUCCUUAGUUACCAGCGGGUUAAGCCGGGAACUCUAAGGAUACUGCCAGUGACAAACUGGAGGAAGGCGGGGACGACGUCAAGUCAUCAUGGCCCUUACGACCAGGGCUACACACGUGCUACAAUGGUAGGUACAGAGGGCAGCUACACAGCGAUGUGAUGCGAAUCUCAAAAAGCCUAUCGUAGUCCAGAUUGGAGUCUGCAACUCGACUCCAUGAAGUAGGAAUCGCUAGUAAUCGCGGAUCAGAAUGCCGCGGUGAAUACGUUCCCGGGCCUUGUACACACCGCCCGUCACACCAUGGGAGUUGAUUGCACCAGAAGUGGUUAGCCUAACUUAGUGAGGGCGAUCACCACGGUGUGGUUGAUGACUGGGGUGAAUCUAGAGGGGAGGCCUCUCAUAUAAAUUGGGGG